rnacentral:rRNA from 1 species
CCCUGAGUUGCCUCAUUUGUUGGCGACCGCUGGGGCGCGCGGGGGACGACCGGAGGAAGGUGGGGACGAGUCCAGUCAUCAUGGGUCUUACGUCCAGGGCUAGAAACGUGCUACAAUGGCUGAUACAAAGGGUUGCAAGACCGCUAGGUGGAGCGAAUCUCAUCAAAGUCAGUCUAAGUUCGGAUCGCAUUCUGAAACCCGACUGCGUGAAGGCGGAGUUGCUAGUAAUCGCGGAUCAACAUGCCGCGGUGAAUACGUUCCCGGGCCUUGGACACACCGCCCGU